GUGCUCGCUUCGGCAGCACAUAUACUAAAAUUGGAACGAUACAGAGAUUAGCAUGGCCCCUGCGCAAGGAUGCCACUGCAUGUAGUUCAUGCAGACAAAUGCAG